rnacentral:rRNA from 1 species
UGGGGAAUAUUGGGCAAUGGGCGAAAGCCUGACCCAGCAACGCCGCGUGAGGGAAGAAGGGUUUCGGCUCGUAAACCUCUGUCCUAUGGGACGAAGGAAGUGACGGUACCAUAGGAGGAAGCCCCGGCUAACUACGUGCC